CCGUAACGAGCGCAACCCUUCGUCCUUACGUUACCAGCACGUUAUGGUGGGCACUCUAAGGAGACUGCCGGUGACAAACCGGAGGAAGGUGGGAUGACGUCAAGUCAUCAUGGCCCUUACGGCCUGGGCUACACACGUGCUACAAUGGUCGGUACAAAGGGUUGCCAAGCCGCGAGGUGGAGCUAAUCCCAUAAAACCGAUCGUAGUCCGGAUCGCAGUCUGCAACUCGACUGCGUGAAGUCGGAAUCGCUAGUAAUCGUGAAUCAGAAUGUCACGGUGAAUACGUUCCCGGGCCUU
rnacentral:rRNA from 1 species